GGUCGCAUGGUGUAGUGGUUAUCACAUCUCGUUUACAGUGAUGUAAAGGUUUCAACAGCUCCGAGAAGGCCGCAAGUUCAAUCCUUGCUGCGAUCA